CGGAUUUGGGCUAGCACUGUUUUGAAACUCUUUUCAAUCCAUUUGACUUUCAAAAUGGACUUAGGAAGCUAAGGCUCUGUUUUUAAACUAUUGAAUUAAAAACAAACAGGCGAAAAAGAAAACAAACAAAAAACAGUGAAACACGGAGCCUUCCUCUUUCUGGUAUCUAAGAAAACACAGAGGACUGUUCAGAUCUGUCUGAAAAGACCAGCCGUGAGAGUGCUGCUCCAUGUCCUCUUGGGCUCCUAGGGGAACUCGGUGUCAUUUUCUGGCAUUAUUAUGCAUGUUGAAAACAAGCUGGAAGAGGCUGUAGCUUCAAGUUGCUGAAUCUUUGAAAAAUGCAGCCUAGAUGCCCCAAAUUGCAAAAGUAAUGAAAAAGACCCAGUGAUAAUAAUGCGAUUGGAAAGGAAGACACUGAUUUCUCACAUGACUGUGGCAAACUGUGAAGAGUGAAAAUUCCAGAAGACUUAAAUUGUCUAUAGUUUUGGCAUCUCUCCCUCUAUGUACUUGCUAUCUUUUUUUUGCUUUUAAGUCUGCUUAGUUACAACUGCAGACCACAGUAAAAUUAUAGAUUUGGAGAUGUUGGAAUGUUUCCUCAAAGAUAAAAGCCAAUUAAAAAAAUUUUAACAAAGAACAGAAGAAGCAAUCAAGAGUUUGUAACAAAUUAUUAGGAUUAAUA
rnacentral:lncRNA from 1 species